GUGGGGAAUCUUGCGCAAUGGGCGAAAGCCUGACGCAGCCAUGCCGCGUGAAUGAUGAAGGUCUUAGGAUUGUAAAAUCCUUUCACCGGUGAAGAUAAUGACUGUAGCCGGAGAAGAAGCCCCGGCUAACUUCGUGCCAGCAGCCGCGGUAAUAAGAAGGGGGCUAGCGUUGCUCGGAUUUACUGGGCGUAAAGGGCGCGUAGGCGGACAUUUAAGUCAGGGGUGAAAUCCCGGGGCUCAACCUCGGAACUGCCUUUGAUACUGGGUGUCUUGAGUAUGAGAGAGGUGUGUGGAACUCCGAGUGUAGAGGUGAAAUUCGUAGAUAUUCGGAAGAACACCAGUGGCGAAGGCGACACACUGGCUCAUUACUGACGCUGAGGCGCGAAAGCGUGGGGAGCAAACAGGAUUAGAUACCCUUGUAGUCC
rnacentral:rRNA from 1 species